GUUGCACUUGUGAAUCAUGAUUCACGAGUCAGUAAAGUGAUUCUCGAGUAUUGAACGAUUCGUUCACGAAUCGAACAUCACUAUGUCUGACUGUGAGGUACUCCAGCAGCAGAAGGCACUAAUAUUCCUUGGAAGCGUGUAGUCCGCCCAACCAACGAACAAGAAGAUAGCGCCACUUGACUGACUCCGCUCAACAAGGGAGUGCCAGCAGCACCCUGCACUGAACCAACAACCUUCUAUUUCAAUGGUGGUGAUCCAAAUCAGUGUGGAGCAGAACGCAUCAUAGAGAUGUACAACUCUCCUGUUGAACACCUCAAGGCUGAAGACUGCAAGGAAAGAACGCUAAUGUACACCGAGCAUCUGAAGAACAACAUGCAAGUCCUCCAGCACAUUGAAUCCAAAACCUGUUCCAGUUC
ensembl:lncRNA